UACGAGGGGGGCGAGCGUUGUUCGGAAUUAUUGGGCGUAAAGGGUGCGUAGGCGGUUUGGUAAGUCUCGUGUGAAAUCUCCGGGCUCAACUCGGAGCCUGCACGAGAAACUGCCGGGCUUGAGUGUGGGAGAGGUGAGUGGAAUUCCUGGUGUAGCGGUGAAAUGCGCAGAUAUCAGGAGGAACACCGGUGGCGAAGGCGGGUCUCUGGGCAGUAACUGACGCUGAGGAGCGAAAGCGUGGGGAGCGAACAGG
rnacentral:rRNA from 1 species